rnacentral:lncRNA from 1 species
UUCAAAUAUCAGUUAUUGAAUUUAAAAAUCUAUUAUAAGAUUGUUAGAAAUUUAUUUGAAAUUGAAAAUUUGAUUAAGAUUUGAUUAGGAUUUGAUUUAGGAUCAGGAUUAGGAUUUGGUUUAAUUAAGAAUUUGAUUAGGGCUAGGAUUAGGAUUUGGUUAGGAUUAAGAUUUGAUUGGAAUUUAGGAUUUGAUCUAA